GAGGGUGCCCUUUCGGGGGCACGGGCGAUUAAUAGGGAACCGGGUGAAAGUCCCGGACAGUCCCGCUGCUGUGAACCUCAUCCGGAAUUCCGGAUCGCGGGUGCAGGACAAUCUUCGUUAUGCCACUGUUCGGGCGCGGCAUCCGGGUUUCGCCGGAAAUACGCGCACAGGGAACGGGAAGGCGCGUCCUAAAGCACUCCGGGGUAAGUCAGAAGACCUGCCUUGCCG
rnacentral:ncRNA from 1 species